UCUGUCAGCUACCAUUGCUGCCAGGAGAAGGUGGGGGGCUUGAAAUGGUCAUAGCAGAGGGGAGUUACUUACCAUAGAUCUGGAAUUCACUAGGGAAGGGAAUGCUUGAAACCUUGCAUUUCCAUAUGUUUUCUUGAGUAGGCAAUUAAGCCCAAAGGUUACCAAGCAACACUGCCAUAAGUAUUUCACAUGUUGGACAGCAUAUCUCCUUUGAAAAUAGUUUUGGAUGCUUCAGACAAUAACUUCCAAAUGAAAGAAGCCUUGGAAAAAUACAUAGUUCAUGAUCCUGCUGUCAGUGUGGAAAUUGGUCCUUGAAUGUGAUGAGAAUAGUUUUCCUCAAUUACUAAGGGCCAGAUUGUCAUGUAUCCUGGAGAAAUUUAAGAGAGUAACCCUAGAGAAAGGCAAAUUCUGCAUGUUUGCCACUCGCUGAAUUUUUUCUGGAUUUUCUUUUCUCCUCCCACCUUUCGCAGAGAAAACAGCAAGUCCAGCCUCUAAAUCUUAUACAUGUAAUGGGGAAGUAUUGGAGAUUCCUGUCUAUCCAUGAGUGAAGAAGGUAGUGAGUCUCUGACUUCUCACAGCAUGGUUCAAAUGGAGGGGCCUGAAAAGCUCUGAAUAAAAGAAAAUAUAGACUGGGCUAUUUUAUCUUUUGUGUAUACUUCUAAUGGGACAUUGGAAAUGUUUUACAGUUCCUUUGCCAUCCUCUUCUUGCCCGUUCUCUUCUAUCAUGAGGACAACACAUAAGCCUAAGUCUCCACUCAUUAACUGCUGACACUUGGCCUCCUUUUUAACUGUGUGCAUGUGUGAAAAAGUGUGCAAGAAAAGAAAGAAAGUGAAAUAAUGUGAACACCAACAGGGGCUCACCACUCAGUGAGUUCUCUAUCUAGAGGAGCAGGCAGCAAUACUUGAUAGUGGAUGUCCAGUUGGACAGGUUUUUUUCUUCAUGUGCAAGAAAGAAAGCAGAUGGAAGAUCUGUCCCCCUUUUAAUUUCGCAUCUCUUCCAGGUGAAAACGUAGAUCCAAUACUGGCAUCUUCACUUCUAACCAGGGUUUGGGGGAACAGAAUGGUAGUGAGAGUUACUUCUCCCCUCCUGGCUCUCCCCAUAAUGAGCUGUAGUGCUGCUGGAACAAUUUUUAUAUUGGGGGGUGCUGAAGGUGGAAACCACGUGUAUGGGUUGUUAUUACUUCAAAGCAGGGGGUGUGCUAGCACCUCUAAUACCAGCACCUAUGAUGAGCUGUGUGGGUGGGAAGUGCGUUCAGUACAUGAGUGGCAUCUAUUCUCUUAAUAUGUUCAGUGCUCAGGCUAUUUCAGUAAGUUCAGAGGGCUACAAUUGCUGAUUUAUGGUAAAAUUUUUUAUCCUAUUCUACUUUCUUUAUCAUUCCCUGAAGGUGCAAAGGGAGCAGAAUCCCCUCUUGGAGAUUCCUCAGCAGGCAAAGUGUUGAACUUGUGCCUACCUGUAAAGCACCUAUAUUUUCCUCCCAUCAACCUCUGCCACAAGGGUAUGUUGGGGGAGAGCCAGGGAAUGAAUGGGAGAAUACUCUGGCUGUCCCAAGCUGACAAGUGGUUCGUUAGGGACCACAGUUAGCUGGUGCAAGUUAAGCUGUUUUGACACAUGUGUUGGAACAAAACCCCACAUAAAUGGUUAUUAGUUCUCAGCUUCUUCUCCCACCUCCCCUCCCGGGAUGCCUAGGAGGGAGGAGGAUAGCCUUCUAUUGCUAGGUCAGUAAGCCCCAUGCCCAGCUCUCCUGAGGUAUGUCUACACCACAUUUUGGACAGAGGGUGAGUGAGCUUCCCGCCCCAGCUCAACAGAGUUCAUACUAGCACUCUUAAAAUAGCGGUUUAGACAGAGCGCUGACAUUGUGUCUCAAACUCUGAAGUCUGGGGAAUAGGAUGGGCUCCAACACCUGACCUCUAACCUGAGCUAACUUCAAAGCCCUCUCGAUACAGCUAUUUUUAGAGAUCCUAAGCCCUGUUAGCCCAAGUAUGUUAAUCCAGGCUGAGAGGCUGCUCCCCUGCAGUCUAAAAGACUAAGACUGUCACUUACAGCCCAGCAAAAGAACAGGUAGUAGAGCAGGGGUGGGGCCACCCCAGAAGGGGAGGGACCUCUGGAGGAAGGGGCGGGGCCAGGACACUUUCAUGCUCCUGACUGGCCUGAGGGUGGAAGAGCACAUGAAGUAUUUGCACCCACCACUUCUCGCCUAGAGAGAACUACCAGCUGUGCUGAACAAAAAGCCACAGUCCCCAGGGCAUCAGGGCACUACACAGUUCCACACACAGUGCACAAGAACAGAUGCUUUUCCUUGGCUGGCUAUGGGAGAUGUGAUGUCUUGACAAGGGAUCAGAAAGUAGAAAUUAUAAGGAAAUCCCAGAGAAUGGAUUCAAUAGUUUCCUUGCUUUGAACUUCUCAACAGAGGCCAAACAAAACCUUGAGAAUUGAUCAGUAAUUGUAGUAUUGCCAACCCCAAAAGGUGGGGGUGAUAACGUGGGUUUCAACCCGUGAAAACAUACACCCAAAUAAAUGAGUUGGUCUUUAAGAUACCACAAGACUCCUCAGAAACAAACAUGAUUGCCUCUCUGAAACUUGUCACCAUGCAAGGUUUAAAAACAAUAGAAUCCUUUGAAUUUUAGUCGAUCUUUUGAUGGUCGAUCGCUCCUUCCCUGACUCCAGUGGAAGUGAUCAUUAUGAACUCUGUGACACGAGUGAAUUGGGAUCAAAUUAUAAAGAUUUGCAUAAAAUUCUGCUGAAUGGAGCUGAGUUUCCAGCUUCUCCCCUUAAGUUCAUACCGCUACCUUGAUACUGAACCCACCACAUUAGCUCUAGUCCCACAUUUGUCCCUUGCCCCUCAAUGCAUCUCUGCCCUUCUGGCAGCUUCAAGGGUUCUUCACUUUCUCCUUUCUUUGCCCAGGAAUGGAAGUGGAGAGCACAUUGACUCUUUUUCAUAGGCAGGGAAGGAGGGAAUUGCUAGGCCUUUUCUGCUCCUUCCCCCACUCAAACCCUUCUUGUGGCUUCAAAAGAAGAGAGGUGAGAGCUCCACUUGCUCUCUCUCUCUGAUGAGCUGCUGUUCCCCAGGAUGUCAGGAAGGCGGGGAAAAAAAGUCAGACAGAGUCCCCAGGAGUCUCCUGCAGAGUGAAAUUUUCACAAGAGAUGCAACUUCUGCAUUACUGCAAGACUGGAUCCAGUAGGGGCCAAAAUCAUGAGUGUUUGCCACUCUGCUCUACACAGAAAAGGAUCUUUUGGUUGAGAGGCAAAGGACAUAUGAAAGAGGUUCCCAUACUGUUGAGCAUCUCCCUAGAGGGGCCGAGAGGACUGUUUCAGGAGAAAAUAAAGGAAUGAGUGGAUGUCCUUGGGGCAGGGAGGGACCCCUACCCAGCUAUGCUUCUGGUUCCAUGCCUGGGGCCUGGCUUCGAGUCCUGCAUGUCAGGCUCUGGCUUUGCCCUGUCUCUGCUACCUUACCCUUGUCCACAUCCCCUCUCCUGGAGCUGCAGCCCUGCUCCUGGCACCAGCUCCAGGGUAAAGGGACAGUCAGGAGUAAGAGGGGCAUGAAGUAAAAAGAUUUGGGACCGCUGGCACAUGGGGUCAUGGGCUAUUGCACUCGCAAGAAAGUCCCCAAUAGUCCUCCGGCACUGGCAUGAGGUUUGCAGGUCUCUCUGUAGUUCCACACCUGGAGAGCACAGAGGAAACCGGGAACUUGCUGAAGCAGUCACAAGCCAGUCCUAUGGACCAGGCUGACACAAGUCUAGCACAAGGUGCGGCAAGUCCUGUUCAGUCAGUGACCUAUGUGAAGUGAUUGGGGGCACUUGGAAGAAUCACAGUUGUGUGACCACAAUAAGUGGGGUGUGAUGUGCAGACCUCAGUUGUGCUCUGAGUGCCACAGGCAGGGAUCCCCUAGUAAGCUCAGCCGGACGUGAGCAGGAUGGGGCUAGGCAACGGCUCCACUGAGCAGCCAUAGGCCAGCAGA